CCCCUGUAUGGUGGUGAAAGAGAUGGAAACUAGAAAGGUUAUAAAGACAAAAAGAAAGAAAGCAAGAAAGACAGAAGAACAUUGGCAGAAAGAAUUUGUACAUGGUGAACUGCUGACUUUAUGGAUAUGAUAGGUGUAUUACCAGACUCUUUUGAGAAUAAGAUCAAUGAUCUCAGUGGAUCUGAUUCAUUCUUCAGGUACUUGCUGUGCCACAAACUUUCCUUUUGGAGAUGAUGUUUUUCAACAAGAUUGAUAAAAUUCCUGAUAUAAGGAAUUAUCCCAUAAGAUUGGAAAACAUAUUGAUGCCUACUGCCAAGAACACUAGAUUGAAGGAGAAGAUAUCAUGGUCCUCCACAUUUUCAGUUAUACUAGUUAGAUAAGCUAGCACUUCGCACUUGCAAAACAUUUGAUUGCUCUCAUAGCUCAUCAUACCAUGCUUGCUAGAAAUAAUAAACUUUCAAAUAAAAUUUGAUUUAUGAUGUUAACUAUCUACUUACAUCAAAAGAUUCUAAAAGGAAAUAAAAAUCAUAGGACAUGAUUUAGAACAUGUAUUGAUUAAAAAAAAAAAUGCGUGCAAAGCCCAGUUUUGCUACACUGUAUACCCAAUAUAAAACUAUAAUGAGUACAAGUAUAUUUAACCAUGUCUUUCUCAAAUGUCUCAUAAGUUUAAGCAUUUAUAUUAUCCAAGAUCUGUAAUUCUGUAUACCAAGACAAGACAAGUGAGCAACACAGUUUGCACUUCUGUUAAUAGGAUUUUAUUGUAACAAAAGAAAAACAGAGCAUUAACAAGGUUAAGACACAUACAAAAGCUUCUAGCUCAUAACUUAUACAGAAAAAGAAAUAUCACAAUAACGUUUCCUUGGGAAAAACUCUAGAAGAAGUCCACCCAAGCUGCGAGAUUAAUAGUUUGUACAAACCAAACAAGAAGUUCCUAGCAAAAAUAAAAGACAACUCUAUAUGGUUAACCAGAUACUAAGCACAGCAACAGACCAUCCCUCUAAAAAAUGUAUAACAACAGACCCCACAAAAAAGCUAUGUAUCACUCCCAUUCACAAUCUGAGUCAUCGGAUGUGAUCUACUACCUCUAAACUAUUUAUAUACAAAAAAAUCAUGUGAUGUACUAGCCUAUUUAAAUCAUGUGAUAUAAACAACACAAUGCCAUACAUUAUUUUGACUCCUUGAUGCAUAUGAUAGAAGUGUUCAAAUCACAUUAUAAAGGCAUAUGCAAACAGCGAUGGCAACAGCACAGGUCCAAUGCUGUUGUUAUGGCCACCAGCUCAUACAAUUAUCAAUAGCAUGAUUGUCUAUUGCUACUGUGGCCUCUGCUGCUGGGCACUACAUCAUUGAUAAUGUCACUAACCAUAACCAAUGUUGUUAAUUAUAGUAUGUAACACUUGUAACGAUACACCCGCCGUGCUUUGAGGGGCUUAGACAACUAGACAAAACUCAUGUUUAUUUAACAGAAGCAAAUAAACAAAUGAAACUUACAUAUGCAUAGUCUGAAGCUUCUGUGGGGCAUUCAUACAAAAGGAAAAAGGCAUUAACUAUCUGAUAGACAACUAGAACUCGCCCAUAUGUAGUAAGGAAAUCUCUCAUGCUAAUACCACCACCAGAAGCUCUAACACCAUUACCCGUAACUAGAACCACUGCAGGAAGAAUAAAUCCAGGUUAAAAACUGAAACUGAAGGAGGAAGAGAUUACCAUGAAGAGAUAUUACUCAACUACUGAAGUGGAAAAAUUACAGAGGAAACAAAAUUUCUAGCACCAAGAUGCAAGACCAAAUUGAGGUAUCAGUGAAUACCUUCUCAGUCAGGGAAGAAUGGAGCCUCUUAUCCUCUUCUCC
rnacentral:lncRNA from 1 species